rnacentral:lncRNA from 1 species
GAACCCGCAACCUCAUGGUUCCCAGUCAGAUUCGUUAACCACUGCUUCACGACGGAACUUCAACGAGGAGUUUUAAUCUCAGGACGGUAGAAGCUGUGGAGUCCUGUGCACAAAAGAGGCACAUGAUGGCUGCAGAAGGAUACCUGGAGGCCAGAGACCAUUGAGGCUGCCGUGGUUAUAUCCCUCUAAUGACCUCCUUCUUCCCAUAGACUCCCAUGACUACAGAGGUGCUUAUGGACCGUACAGAGGUGAGUGGAGGAUAUUUGGGGCCCUCAGUGGUCCUGACCCCACCCUUUGUCUCAGGGAUUGUGUCCUGGGAUUCUUCCAGUCCAUGGGCCUGAGGACCCUGAAGAAACCACAAGCCCAGGGUUGUAAAGCCAGACUAGAGGUGAAAAGGAGAGUUCCUAUUUCUGGCAACCAAUGCAAUUUGGUGUAAAAACUUGUUCCAGACAUAGGUUCCAGAAUGUGCUAAUUCUUGGAGGUGAGACUCAGUUCAAGAAUUGUAGUUCUCCCUAUGUAUUUAUUUAUGUCUUUUUAAAGCCACACCUGAGGCAUAUGGAGGUUCCCAGGCUAGAGGUUGAAUUGAAGCUGUAGCUCCUGGCCUACACCACAGCCACAGCAACGCCAGAUCCGAGCAGUGUCUGUGACCUACACCACGGCUCACGGCAAUGCCAGAUCCUUAACCCACUGAGUAAGGCCCAGGAUUGAACCUGCGUCCUCAUGGAUACUAGUAAGAUUUUUUUCUGAUGAGCCGCAAUGGG